GACGAACGCUGGCGGCGUGCUUAACACAUGCAAGUCGAACGGAAAGGCCCUGCUUUUGUGGGGUGCUCGAGUGGCGAACGGGUGAGUAACACGUGAGUAACCUGCCCUUGACUUUGGGAUAACUUCAGGAAACUGGGGCUAAUACCGGAUAGGAGCUCCUGCUGCAUGGUGGGGGUUGGAAAGUUUCGGCGGUUGGGGAUGGACUCGCGGCUUAUCAGCUUGUUGGUGGGGUAGUGGCUUACCAAGGCUUUGACGGGUAGCCGGCCUGAGAGGGUGACCGGCCACAUUGGGACUGAGAUACGGCCCAGACUCCUACGGGAGGCAGCAGUGGGGAAUAUUGCACAAUAGGCGGAAGCCUGAUGCAGCAACGCAGCGUGCGGGAUGACGGCCUUCGGGUUGUAAACCGCUUUCGCCUGUGACGAAGCGUGAGUGACGGUAAUGGGUAAAGAAGCACCGGCUAACUACGUG
rnacentral:rRNA from 1 species